GUGGGGAAUAUUGGACAAUGGGGGGAACCCUGAUCCAGCCAUGCGGCGUGUGUGAAGAAGGCCUUUUGGUUGUAAAGCACUUUAAGCGAGGAGGAGGCUACCGAGAUUAAUACUCUUGGAUAGUGGACGUUACUCGCAGAAUAAGCACCGGCUAACUCUGUGCCAGCAGCCGCGGUAAUACAGAGGGUGCAAGCGUUAAUCGGAUUUACUGGGCGUAAAGCGCGCGUAGGUGGCCAAUUAAGUCAAAUGUGAAAUCCCCGAGCUUAACUUGGGAAUUGCAUUCGAUACUGGUUGGCUAGAGUAUGGGAGAGGAUGGUAGAAUUCCAGGUGUAGCGGUGAAAUGCGUAGAGAUCUGGAGGAAUACCGAUGGCGAAGGCAGCCAUCUGGCCUAAUACUGACACUGAGGUGCGAAAGCAUGGGGAGCAAACAGGAUUAGAUACCCCGGUAGUCC
rnacentral:rRNA from 1 species